rnacentral:rRNA from 1 species
GAACCCGUGAGAAUGCCCUCAAUCCCCCACCCGGGGACGAGGAGCAGGCAUCAGGCACAAAUUUUAGCCCAAGACGCCUUGCCACGCCACACCCCCAAGGGAAUUCAGCAGUGAUAGAUAUUAAGCCAUAAGUGAAAACUUGACUUAGUCAGGGAUAAGAGGGCCGGUAAAACUCGUGCCAGCCACCGCGGUUAUACGAGAGGCCCCAGUUGAUGGACACGGCGUAAAGGGUGGUUAAGGUUUAGUAAAAAUAAAGCCAAAAGACCUCUUGGCUGUCAUACGCCCCUGAGUCUCCGAAGCCCACAUACGAAGGUAGCUUUAAUACUAUAUUUACCUGACCCCACGAAAGCUGAGAAACAAACUGGGAUUAGAUACCCCACUAUGCUCAGCCAUAAACUUAGGCGUUAUUUUACAAUUAACGCCCGCCAGGGUACUACGAGCAUUAGCUUAAAACCCAAAGGACUUGGCGGUGCCUUAGACCCCCCUAGAGGAGCCUGUUCUAGAACCGAUAACCCCCGUUAAACCUCACCACUUCUGGCCAUCCCC